rnacentral:rRNA from 1 species
AUACUCCCGAGAGACCGAUAGCGAACCAGUACUGUGAAGGAAAGGUGAAAAGCACCUCGAACAGAGGAGUGAAAUAGUCCCUGAAACCGUCUGCCUACAAGCGGUCGGAGCAACGUAAGUUGUGACGGCGUGCCUUUUGCAUAAUGAACCUACGAGUUACUUUCUCCGGCAAGGUUAAGGGCUUCAGGCCCGGAGCCGAAGCGAAAGCGAGUCUUAAUAGGGCGUGAUAGUCGGAGUGAGUAGACGCGAAACCAAGUGAUCUACCCUUGGUCAGGAUGAAGGUUGGGUAACACCAACUGGAGGUCCGAAUGGGUAUACGUUGAAAAGUGUUCCAAUGAACUGAGGGUAGGGGUGAAAGGCUAAUCAAACUUGGAGAUAGCUCGUACUCCCCGAAAUGCAUUUAGGUGCAGCCUUGUGAGUUACUAAUGUGAGGUAGAGCGACUGAUAAGAUGCGAGGGCUUCACCGCCUAUCAAGUCUUGACAAACUCCGAAUGCGUGUCAGUUCUAUGUCAGGAGUGAGGGCAUGGGUGCUAAGGUCCAUGUCCUAAAGGAGAACAAUCCGGACCAACAGCUAAGGUCCCGAAAUGAAUACUAAGUUGAACUAACGAAGUCAGAUUGCUAAGACAGCUAGGAUGUUGGCUUGGAAGCAGCCAUUCAUUUAAAGAGUGCGUAACAGCUCACUAGUCGAGGAGUCGGGCGUGGAUAAUAAUCGGGUAUCAAGUUGUCUACCGAAGCAGUGGGAUCAUUUAUAUGAUCGGUAGGGGAGCAUUCCAGUCAGCGUCGAAGGCGUACCGUGAGGUAUUCUGGAGCGUCUGGAAAAGCAAAUGUAGGUAUAAGUAACGAUAAAGGGGGCGGGAAACCCCCUCGCCGAAAGACUAAGGUUUCCUGAUCAACGCUAAUCGGAUCAGGGUCAGUCGGGUCCUAAGGCUCAGCCGAACGGCGAUGCCGAUGGCAGAAACGGUUAAUAUUCCGUUACUACCUUCAGGAGUGACGUGGAGACGCAGUAGUGACAGUGCCGCCAUCUGACGGAAUAGAUGGUUGAAGGGUGUAGGAGUCGAUCAUGGCAGGCAAAUCCACCAUGAGAUCCGAACCUGACAGUAUGCCGCGUCCUUCGGGACAAGGCAAUAGUGCGCGUAAGCAUGCUGCCGAGAAAAUCCGCUAAACUUAAUCCUGCAGGUACCCGUACCGCAAACGGACACACGUAGUCGGGUUGAAUAUACUAAGGCGCUUGAGUGAUUCACGGUUAAGGAACUAGGCAAAUUGACCCUGUAACUUCGGGAUAAAGGGUCCCUACCCGGUGACGGGAGGGCGCAGAGAAUAGGUCCAGGCAACUGUUUAACAAAAACACAGGGCUGUGCAAAAUUGAAAGAUCACGUAUACAGCCUGACACCUGCCCGGUGCUGGAAGGUUAAGAGGAGAUGUCAUCGCAAGAGAAGCAUUGAAUUGAAGCCCCAGUAAACGGCGGCCGUAACUAUAACGGUCCUAAGGUAGCGAAAUUCCUUGUCGGGU